rnacentral:rRNA from 1 species
AGUGGCAGACGGGUGAGUAACAUGUGGGUAUCUACCCUUUGGCCUGGAAUAACACGAGGAAACUUGUGCUAAUACUGGAUAAGUCUUUACGGAGAAAGCUUUAUGCACCAUUGGAUGAGCCCGCACUUGAUUAGUUUGUUGGUAGGGUAAUGGCCUACCAAGACUAUGAUCAAUAGCUGAUUUGAGAGGAUGAUCAGCCACAUUGGGACUGAGACACGGCCCAAACUCCUACGGGAGGCAGCAGUGGGGAAUCUUGCACAAUGGAGGAAACUCUGAUGCAGCGAUGCCGCGUGAGUGAAGAAGGCCUUUGGGUUGUAAAGCUCUUUCGUCGGGGAAGAAAAUGACUGUACCCGAAUAAGAAGGUCCGGCUAACUUCGUGCCAGCAGCCGCGGUAAUACGAAGGGACCUAGCGUAGUUCGGAAUUACUGGGCUUAAAGAGUUCGUAGGUGGUUGAAAAAGUUGGUGGUGAAAUCCCAGAGCUUAACUCUGGAACUGCCAUCAAAACUUUUCAGCUAGAGUAUGAUAGAGGAAAGCAGAAUUUCUAGUGUAGAGGUGAAAUUCGUAGAUAUUAGAAAGAAUACCAAUUGCGAAGGCAGCUUUCUGGAUCAUUACUGACACUGAGGAACGAAAGCAUGGGUAGCGAAGAGGAUUAGAUACCCUCGUAGUCCAUGCCGUAAACGAUGUGUGUUAGACGUUGGAAAUUUAUUUUCAGUGUCGCAGGGA